UUUCUGCUAGCUACGACGGCCACCUAGAUAGCGUGGGGCCACUUACGACCUGUAAGUGGUCACCGACUUAGUUUUCCCUGUAUAUUUUGGUUUAGAUUUCUAGGAUUUUUAUGUACUCUAUAAAUACUCUUUUGAUGUUUUUAGUGAUCUUACACACUCAUAUUAUUCACAAACAUAUAUUGAUUUCAAGAUUGACUUUUGAUCUUGGAAUUCUUGUGUUUUUGGUUUUUGAUUGAUUAAUUAAUUUGAAAGUUUGGGUUUUAUUCUUCCAUUAUUGUAAGAUUAUUUCUAUGAUUUCUUUAUUGAAUUCCAUGGCAUGUCUUGCAACUAUGAACGGCUAAAUCCCUUAGCUAGGGUUGUGGAACCUUAGUAGAAUAAUGAAGUGUGAAGGUGUAAGGUUCUUCUAGAUCAUUGUUUACACUUGUAUUGUGAUCUUCUUCAGUUUGAUUGUUUUUUAGAGGUGUCCAAUGCCCAGAACCUACUUGUAUUUGAUAUAGUCUUCACAAGAGAGAUUGAUAAAAGAAAAAGAAGAUUACAAUAGUGAUUUGAGGCUAUUAACCCUCAUCUAAUAACUUGUACUCAAAAGGUGAUAGUUAAACAGAGAUCAAAGAUAAGGCUUAGUAGGUGACACCCUGAUACUUACAAGGUGAAGCGUGAGAUUUAUCAAAGCAUUUACAAGACGGAUGGUAAUACCUAGCUUGCUAGAUUCUGUAUUCUGCAUAUGUGGCAGUGAGACAGUUAGAUUUAGCACGUCCUAUAGAGUUAGAAAGUCAGGGGGAACACAGUCCUAGUGUUCAUCUCAGAUUAACUACAACCAAAAGCAAUCAAGACUUGUUACUUCUCACUGUUUACUACAAAUUUCCCCCAUUUAUUUUUUUGCACUUCUGGCUACUUUAGCAAGUUUGAGAGACGGAUUUGACCUAUUCCCUGUGGGAUCGACCCUAACCUAGUUUGGUUACUAUAAUUUGGCAGCAACCGCAUUGUAUCUUCUUGAAGGGUUCCACCUAAGGUAUACGCAACAUGUCCUAUUUUUAGAGUACGAUUUUUCCCAGAAUGUUUAAGAGUAGGACUGAAUAGCUGUGAGAAGAAGACCUAACCUAAUUGCACCGACUCUGAAACAAAGGAAUCCAAAGAAGAAUUGGAGGAGUUAAGGACACCCCUCGCGUGUUCAGUGUGUGAAUUAUGUACAACCAAAGACUCGAUAGAAAAAUGCAAGUGAUAAAAUAGUAACAAGUAGUGAUGAUCAAAUAAAUAAGGAAUGCAAGUUUGGAUUUAGGUUGCGUCCUUUCACACAAAGCAGGAUAUAAGUGUAAAUAAAGAAAAUAAUGAAUGAAAAGCAUAAUAAUUCUAAACUAAGUCUGCUAAAGUAAAAACGUAAGUUUACGUUCCCAAUAGAGUUGUGACAUUGCCGCGCCCUAUUUUGAAUCGAUCAAAACAAUACACAACAUGUGGUGGUCAUUGUGACUCUCAAAUUUUAAAAAUUCAUUUUUAGCCGCCACCUAAAUUCUUUAGAAAAAUUAGGAAAAAAUUAUUUUUAUGCAAAGUCUCUGUUUUGGUCUUUCAAAAAUAUUUUGAGAUUCUGAGUAAGGAUUUUGGUUACUCGAGGAAAAGGUGUUAGGAACCUCUCAGAAUCUAUCCAAAGAUAGUCCUUAGACUCAAUUUAGGAAAAUAUUUGGGAAAAGUAUUUUCUUUACUGUUUGCUAAAAUAUUGAUGAAAAACACUUUUAUUAUUUUAAGGAAAAGAAAAAAAUAAGGUAAACAAAAAUGCACUACUUCAAUACAGAAGAAUAUAAUACAGUUUGUUGCAAAUGCGUAUUUCAAAAUAUGAAAAUGAAAGAAAGAAAAAAUUAACAAUAACAUUUGGUUAUAUAUUAGGAAGUCUAAGGUUUAAUAAUCUUAUAUAAAUAUAAGAUUUAAUGGCGUAUAAAAUAAAAUACAUAAAUAAAAUUUGUGCGAAAUAAGAGCAUACAAUUUUGAAAACAUGUGAGGAUUUAUUAUAAAAUAAACAUGUAUAUCUAAGAGUAUAAAAUUUAUAUGAUUUGAAAAUGAGUUUAUAUGAACAUGUUUACCCUAAAGCAAAAUAAGGAUGUUAAAACAUAUUAACAUAUUAGCUAGGGAGUAAAAUAGGCUUCCGUAUAAUUAAGAUAUCACACUAAUAUUCAUCUGUAAAAGUUUAAUAGACAAAAGUGAUAAAAUAGGUAAUAGAUGAAAAAAAUUAAAAAGUAAGAUAUUCAUAUUCAUAGUUAUAGUUAAGGAAACGUGUAAACAAUAAUAAUUAAAAAUAAAUAAUGAUAAUAAUAAAAUAUACCUUGUAUAUGAUAGCUCAUGUAUGUGUAUAUAUAUAUAGAUUUAAAGAAAUAUCUGAAUUGAAUGAAACGAAAAAAGAAAAAGAUUAUCUAAUUAGUAAUCAAAUAAUUAACGAAUCAUUUAGUCAAAUUGAAUCUGGAAAUUGGCCAAAUUCUUUACUGAUAGAAAUCAAAAUGAAGGAUUUGACUAAUAG
rnacentral:lncRNA from 1 species